AUGAUGAGUUGGCUGAGGGCGCGGAGAGGGCAGCGUUUACCUGAGGCGGAUCUGUCAGCACGGCCGUCCCAGCAGAGCCUGAGAGCGGCGGGGCGCGGCCACGGCGGCGCCUGUCCCGGACCCGUCAGGCCGGAUGGCGCAGAGCCUGAGACCCUCCCGAGAGCAGCGGGCACAGCGCCUUCCUGCCUCCCUUCACCUCCGGCCGGCCGAGUUCUGCAGUUCCACACACGGAAUCAGCUGGAGUUUAAAAAUGUCGCCCGCCGUGCCGGCCGGAAGACCCACCCUGACGCCGUCUUACAGAACGGAAGUGGCUCAGUCUUGGGUUUGCAUUGGCCCAGUGACCCAUACGGGCUGCGCUUUGUUUUCAGGGAAAUGUAGUUGACACCGCUGUCGGCCAUGGCUAGGCUCGGUGCUCCAGACUUCCAGGAAAAUUCCGCCCGACCCCGGUGGGUGGCUGGGAAGCAGUUUUCCAAGGCUGCGAGUUACUGGCGGGGUUCACGCUUCUUAAAGGGGGAUGCACCCAGAUAUCCGUGGAACCACUUUCUCAAAGACAGAAAAAGGGGAUGUCAGCACGCGUAGAGUCACACAGGGCAUCAAGCAUUCUAAAAUUUUAAGAACUUGAAAUUGAGAAUGUGGUACAGGUAGAGGACUUAGUGACGUCAAUAUUUUGCAAAAUUAUGAGGGCAUACAUACUUAGAGGUCAAAGACAUUUAUGAUACACACCUACAAGUAAUAUUUCGCAUUAUGAUUGCAAUGAAUAUACCUGAAGACAAACACAUUUUGAAGGGCUUAGACUCAAAGUGGCAGGCCGAUGAAUAUUCCCCGAAGACACCUCGGUCCUCAUCUUCGGAACUCAUGAAUGUUACCUUAUAUAGUCAGAGACUUUGCCAACUCGAUUAGGGAUUUGGAGAUGAGAUUACCCCAAAAGUAUGUUUGAACUGAACUGAUGGCGUUUUUCAUAAAAGUGAUUGAAAUACUUUGGAAGUUUCUUUCAGUUCAGUUCAGUCACUCAGUCGUGUCUGACUCUUUGUGACCCCAUGAGUCGCAGCACGCCAGGUCUCCCUGUCCAUCACCUACUCCCGGAGUUCACUCAGACUCACGUCCAUAGAGUCAGUGAUGCCAUCCAGCCAUCUCAUCCUCGGUCGUCCCCUUCUCCUCCUGCCCCCAAUCCCUCCCAGCAUCAGAGUCUUUUCCAAUGAGUCAACUCUUCGCAUGAGGUGGCCAAGGUACUGGAGCUUCAGCUUUAGCAUCAGUCCUUCCAAAGAAAUCCCAGGGCCGAUCUCCUUCAGAAUGGACUGGUUGGAUCUCCCUGCAGUCCAAGGGACUCUCAAGAGUCUUCUCCAACACCACAGCUCAA
rnacentral:lncRNA from 1 species